CAUAGGCAAACAGCUGUUCAGGUUCCCCAAAGACCCUCUCCGUAAGAAGAAAUGGGUGGUGAACUGUCGACGUGACUUUGAACCAACUCCUCACUCCAGACUCUGUCAGGACCAUUUUGAGCAGAGCCAGUUUGAGGAGAUAGCGAGGUCUCCAGCCGGGGGAAAGAAGCUGAAGCCCAAUGCCAUCCCCACUCUGUUCAGUAUUGGAGAUCCCUCCUUACCCAGCAGUCACUACUCCAUACAUCUGGCUGCCAAUGAAACCUGAACCAGUGGAGAAGGAGCUGAAUUUUGGGGACCAUGGCUAUGCCAGACGCACACCGCUGCCCGGCCUCGAGGAGGAGGAUGCAGACAGGAUUGCAGAGGACCAGCAGCCCUGCACACAGUGUCACCUCCUCAAGAAACAGCUGGAGCAGGAGAUGCAGCACACUGCAAGGCUACAGAAGGAGGCGGAGGAGAUGAAGAAGCGCCUGUAUCGGCUCGACCGGAUCGAGAAGGGUCUCCAGAAUUUUCUGUACGAGGACCAGAUCCGUGCACUGUCGCUCACCAAACGCUCCCGGCGCGCCGUCUGGUCUCCGGAGACCAUCCUGAAGGCCCGGAUGAUCCGCUGUGCUGUUGGCACAAAAGGCUACGAGUACCUGAGAGAGCUGGGAUACCCUUUGCCCUCCUACAGGACUCUAUGUAACCGCCUGGAAACUAAGAUCAUGGUGACGACUGACAUGAGCUGCGAGGAGCUGGCAGAGCUGGGCAUGGGGCUCAUGGCCUCCUGCAACAGUCCCACAGAAGGUGUCGGGGACAAUGACGAGGAGGAACUCAUAGGUGUUUUGUCCUAAUCGUCGCAGUUUGCACGACUCGCUGACUCUAACCGAGAGAAGAAUGUGCAGCAUCUGCCGUGUUUGCGGAUGUGACCCCAAGUAACAGAAGAUGGGCACAUUGUGCUUCUUAUCUCAUCUAUGAAAGACUUAAGCGUCAAUAUAAAUGUAUGCUUCGCUCGACAGAUUGUGAGCCGACACGUUUGAAUGGUCACCGGGCAGGGAUCUGCUCCACUAAGACAUUCUUUGCUCAACUCGUGCGAGAUGCUGGGGCUUGCAGUUAGCCGAGGGUUAUGCUUACGGUGUUUCUCACCAUGAAGAUGCUGAGCUACAGUACGUGCUGCAGCGUGUGGGGAGAUGUACGAUGUAGUCUGUGACUAAGAAGUAGGCAUGGGACGAUGUUACAGCUGCAACAACUAGUCGACUAAUCAAUUAAGAGAAUGAAAGAAAAAUAAACGGUAUCUAUUUUGAUAACCGUUAAGCAUAGUUUUCAGCCGCUUUGCAUCAUAUUAAUCAAGUGAAUAUCUUUGGGUUUCAGACCUUUAAAGACAUCACCUUGGACUUUGAGAAACUGGGGUGGACUUUUAUUUCACUAUUUUCUGACAUUUUAUAGACAAAUAGCUGAAUCUGCACAUUAAUCAAUAUUGAGAAUAAUCCCUAGUUGCAGCCCAGACGGUACGAAACUUUCAUGUUACGGUUAUCUUGGCCAACAUAAUUGGGAAUCAAGAUAUUAUCCCAAAAAUCGUGGAAAUAUGCUUAAAAUUCUUACACUACACUAAAACAUACUGGAAUCACUUGACCUUACAUUUAGUUAAGAAACAAAUAGUUUUAUUGCAUCACAGAUGGGACUUGCAUCUUUUAUAAAAAAAAAAAGAAAAACAAACAAUCUUAAAUAAGGUCAUAAAUCACAAGUCUACUGGCAUAAACAUUAACAGCAUUGUGUGAGUCUGUUCUUUCUUACAUGGUAAUUCUUGUUGUUUUUAAAUCCGGCUCUAUUACUACACUUCUCUAACACUACAGCAAACAAGACAGAUUUUUAAAAGGUCUCUCACCAUUAUUCAAUAAUGGAAAUUCCCCACGAUCAACUUAUUGUGAGUUGUGUUUUUUUAAUCUUAUAUCGUCCCAUCCCUACGAAGAAGACUAUCAUGGAGUGUGUGAUUGUGUGGAAAGUGUCGACAUAAUUGGCACAUAGCCUGUUGACUUUGUUUAACUGACGUUUACAUGCACAAUAAAAGCCUGGUAUGAUUCAGGAUACUCAAAUGUUCUGAGAGCAGAUAUAAACUCAUCCUGGUUUAGUAACUCGAGUAUUCCAAUAUUAGGACUAAUACAUGUAAAUAUGUGCACUAUAAACUGCAAGCUUUAUGUUUUUUGGUUAGAAGUCACCCAAAGUGUGUGUGUGUGUGUGUGUGUGUGUGUGUGUGUGUCCAAAUCAUUUAAAUGCUGUCGACAAAAUGUGUGUUGAUAUCCUUAACUCGUGUAUCUGAGCUAACCUUUGCUGUUUAUCAGUAAUACAUUAUAGAGACUUAGAGGUGUGCAUAGUCAAAGGAAAUAAAAGUCAACCCUCCAUUAGUAAAUAAGUAGCGGUAGUUUUAUUCAAUAGGUUGUACAUUUCUUGAAGUGUUUGUGAAGACUUGCAGUGCAGUUGUAGUUACUGCACAGGGUAUCAAAAAAAAGAAGCUCAGGCUUGUCACAUGACAUUCAAUAUCCAAAACAACACUGGCACUGUGAGAAAAUAAAGUGAUUGUAAAGAAUGAUCUGUAUGUUUCAUCGUGUGUGAACGGGACAGAGAAAGACACAGUGCAUGUAGAUCUGCAUAUCAGACAUUUAACGGUAACAAAUAAACAGCUUUGUUGCCAUCACUACUGGUUACAUUGCAACUGAUAUGAAAGCUCACGGCUCUACUAACCACCAGUCUUCUUGAACACCACUGAGGUAACUAAAUACCCUCACUGGCCUAUCAGGUAAUGUGUGUAGCAUCUGUC
ensembl:lncRNA THAP domain-containing protein 1-like